rnacentral:lncRNA from 1 species
AUUAUAACAUUCAAAAAUUAAUUAUUUUUUCAUAUUUUCAGACUGUAGGUCCUUCAGAGAGGAGAUCCAAUCUGUCCUGCCAGGGUAUGGAUCUUCUGGGUACUGCUGGUUCUGCUGGAAGAAGCUGACAAGUUAUAUCCCUAAGAUGCCACCAAAGGAGAAGCUGAAGGCCUGGGAUUCCCAUGGAGGGAAGGGCUGCAGACAUCAGCAGUAUUUUUUUUUUUCCCACCAUGAAGGAGCUGCUGUAAGCCCAGUGACUGCAGAUGACUGACAAAGGCAGUCUUUGCUUAUGAGGAUACACUGACAGACAAAGGAUGCGGAUGGGAGUUAGUUCUGCAGACUGCUUUUUCAGGGCAAAUUAAUCAUAACCCACAUAUCUAAUUUAUUGGGGAACAUGUUCAGCUGGCAUUCCUCACAGCUGACAUAAAUGAUGCAGGAGAGCACUGCUAGCACCCAAAUGCCAUGCCAGUGUCAGCUUCAGCAAUGAGGUGUGUUGUGGGCAGCCGAGCAGA